rnacentral:rRNA from 1 species
UACCUGCAGCUCGAGUGGUGAUCGUUAUUAUUGGGCCUAAAACGUCCGUAGCCGGUCUUAUAAAUGCCUGGGUAAAUCGUAUGGCUUAACCAUACGAAUUCCGGGUAGACUGUUUGACUUGAGACCGGGAGAAGCUAGAGGUACUCCUUGGGUAGAGGUGAAAUUCUGUAAUCCUAGGGGGACCACCAGUGGCGAAGGCGUCUAGCUAGAACGGGUCUGACGGUGAGGGACGAAGCCCUGGGGCGCAAACGGGAUUAGAUACCCCGGUAGUCCAGGGUGUAAACGCUGCUUGCUUGAUGUUAGUCUGGCUCCGAGCCAGAUUAGUGUCGGAGAGAAGUUGUUAAGCAAGCUGCCUGGGAAGUACGGCCGCAAGACUGAAACUUAAAGGAAUUGGCGGGGGAGCACAGCAACGGGUGGAGCGUGCGGUUU